GACGAACGCUGGCGGCGUGCCUAAUACAGGCAAGUCGAACGCUGAAGGAGGAGCUUGCUUCUCCGGAUGAGUUGCGAACGGGUGAGUAACGCGUAGGUAACCUGCCUGGUAGCGGGGGAUAACUAUUGGAAACGAUAGCUAAUACCGCAUAAGAGUAGAUGUCGCAUGACAUUUGCUUAAAAGGUGCAACUGCACCACUACCAGAUGGACCUGCGUUGUAUUAGGUAGUUGGUGAGGUAACGGCUCACCAAGGCAACGAUACAUAGCCGACCUGAGAGGGUGAUCGGCCACACUGGGACUGGGACACGGCCCAGACGCACACGGGAGGCAGCAGUAGGGAAUCGUCGGGAAUGGACGGAAGACUGACCGAGCAACGCCGCGGGAGUGAAGAAGGUUUUCGGGUCGUAAAGCUCGGUUGUAAGAGAAGAACGAGUGUGAGAGUGGAAAGUUCACACUGUGACGGUAUCUUACCAGAAAGGGACGGCUAACUACGUG
rnacentral:rRNA from 1 species